rnacentral:rRNA from 1 species
AGUGAACGCUGGCGGUAGGCCUAACACAUGCAAGUCGAACGGCAGCACAGUAAGAGCUUGCUCUUACGGGUGGCGAGUGGCGGACGGGUGAGGAAUACAUCGGAAUCUACUUUUUCGUGGGGGAUAACGUAGGGAAACUUACGCUAAUACCGCAUACGACCUACGGGUGAAAGCAGGGGAUCUUCGGACCUUGCGCGAUUGAAUGAGCCGAUGUCGGAUUAGCUAGUUGGCGGGGUAAGGGCCCACCAAGGCGACGAUCCGUAGCUGGUCUGAGAGGAUGAUCAGCCACACUGGAACUGAGACACGGUCCAGACUCCUACGGGAGGCAGCAGUGGGGAAUAUUGGACAAUGGGCGCAAGCCUGAUCCAGCCAUACCGCGUGGGUGAAGAAGGCCUUCGGGUUGUAAAGCCCUGUUGUUGGGAAAGAAAAGCAGCAGGUUAAUACCCCGCUGUUCUGACGGUACCCAAAGAAUAAGCACCGGCUAACUUCGUG